rnacentral:rRNA from 1 species
UACGUAGGGAGCAAGCGUUGUCCGGAAUCAUUGGGCGUAAAGCGCGCGUAGGCGGCCCUGUAAGUCCGUUGUGAAAGUCAAAGGCUCAACCUUUGAAAGCCGAUGGAUACUGCAGGGCUAGAGUCCGGAAGAGGCGAGUGGAAUUCCUGGUGUAGCGGUGGAAUGCGCAGAUAUCAGGAGGAACACCGGUGGCGAAGGCGACAUCCUGGACCGGUAUUGACGCUGAGGCGCGAAAGCCAGGGGAGCAAACAGG